rfam:Pseudomonas entomophila str. L48 chromosome,complete sequence.
CCACCCAAUGCGCCGCCAAUGCCGGCCUCGGUGGUGCCGCCUGCCAUGGCAACGCCGCUGAGCAAGCUGAAAGACAACAACAGAAUCGAGGAGUACUUCUUCAUCAAGAGAGCCUCAGAGGGAUGACGAGGCGGAAUUUGAGGCUCGGCGAGGCGCGUGGCAAUUGAAAUCCGACGAGUAGCACGAGUUGUACACAAUUCUCUAAGUUAUUGAAUUAUGUAUGAAACUUUCUCGAAUUUCGGUGGUCUGAGCUAUUUAUGACGAAGCCCUGAUCCGUUGCGGAGCAGGGCUUUUUUGUGGGUGUCGAUCAGGGCCUGUAGGAGCGGCCGCUCCUACAGGGGGGCGGCACA